rnacentral:rRNA from 1 species
ACGAACGCUGGCGGCAUGCCUAACCCCUGCAAGUCGCACGAACCCUUCGGGGUUAGUGGCGCACGGGUGCGUAACGCGUGGGAAUCUGCCCUUUGCUUCGGAAUAACUCAGGGAAACUUGUGCUAAUACCGGAUGAUGUCUUCGGACCAAAGAUUUAUCGGCAAGGGAUGAGCCCGCGUAGGAUUAGGUAGUUGGUGGGGUAAAGGCCUACCAAGCCGACGAUCCUUAGCUGGUCUGAGAGGAUGAUCAGCCACACUGGGACUGAGACACGGCCCAGACUCCUACGGAAGGCAGCAGUGGGGAAUAUUGGACAAUGGGCGCAAGCCUGAUCCAGCAAUGCCGCGUGAGUGAUGAAGGCCCUCGGGUCGUAAAGCUCUUUUACCAGGGAUGAUAAUGACAGUACCUGGAGAAUAAGCUCCGGCUAACUCCGUG